rnacentral:rRNA from 1 species
AUUGAACGCUGGCGGCGUGCUUAACACAUGCAAGUCGAUCGGUAACGCGGGGGCAACCCUGGCGACGAGAGGCGGACGGGUGAGGAACGCUUGGGAAUCUGCCUAUCAGCGGGGGACAACACGGGGAAACUCGUGCUAAUACCGCAUACGCUCUACGGAGGAAAGCCGGGGACCGCAAGGCCUGGCACUGAUAGAUGAGCCCAAGCCGGAUUAGCUAGUUGGCGGGGUAACGGCCCACCAAGGCGACGAUCCGUAGCUGGUCUGAGAGGACGAGCAGCCACACUGGAACUGAGACACGGUCCAGACUCCUACGGGAGGCAGCAGUGGGGAAUAUUGGACAAUGGGGGAAACCCUGAUCCAGCGACGCCGCGUGGGUGAAGAAGGCCUGCGGGUUGUAAAGCCCUUUCGGUAGGGACGAAAGCUCUCGACCUAACACGUCGGGAGGUUGACUUAACCUACAAAAGAAGCACCGGCUAACUCUGUGCCAGCAGCCGCCGUAAGAC